GUGGUGGGUGUAGAAAGAACCCUGAGCUGGAAGUUUAAGUGCUGGCUCAGCUAAGGAGCUUCAUCACCGGAGCACGAGUUAGUGACUCAGGGUCCCCAGGGCCCAAGAGGAGCUUCCAGCCGCGGAGGGGUUUGGCUCGGAGGACUCACACCGCUCUGCUAGCGGAGCCUCCUGAGCGCCCUGGUCCUCGCGGCCCUCGCGGCCCUCGCGGCCCUCACGGCCCUGGGCGCAGGGAAACACGCCUGCGGGACCCCUGCUGCCCCUACCUAGGUUUGCCCCACGCCGGGAGGCCGCAUCUUGCCUCCUGCAAGGUUCACGUCCUCAGCAGUUCCCGGACGAACAGAAAUAAAGAGAAAAUGAGCCAGCUGGUAGCAGGACAAGAAUCAUGAAGAUACACUUAGAAGAGGGGCGUGAAGAUUGCAGUCACUGAAUCACACUGAUGCUGGAGCUCCAGGACCAGUGGUUCUGAACCCAAAUACCUGUGCACACGGGCUGGAAGCUACCCUCACAGAUAGAACACUCAGGGAACCAAGAAACAGAGGCCAGGAUGGAAGUGGAAAUAGAAUCUUUGGGGAUGUGUAUCAGCAGGCCGCCUUCAGCUGCGGCAGACAGAAUGUAAGCUCCUCAAGGGCAGGGUCCUGGGGCUGCUGUGUUUACUAAUGAGUCAGCACCUGGCACACAGUAGUCACUCCAUAAGUACUUACUGAAUGAAUGGGAGGUAUAAACACACUAAGUUUGAAAUGAGAAAUGCCACGUUUCAAUAGCCAUCAUUUUCUAGAUUCACUCACUUGGUUGCUUUAAUUUUCUCAGCCAUUACAAAACACAUUACAUAAAAAGGCAAACGGUAGAUCUACAGACGUGAGCAAGGGCUCUAUGGAGCAAAAGCAUCAUUGCCCGGUUUCUGCUCAUGAGCCACACAUGCUUUUAACACAGGCGGACAGCGAUGCGGACCUGGCUUCCUGCUGAGCACAGGGAAAGCUCAACCUUAAGAAUUCACAACGGGGGCUUCCCUGGUGGCGCAGUGGUUGAGAGUCCACCUGCCGAUGCAGGGGACACGGGUUCG